GGCCAGCAUAUGUAAAAGGGUUGGUGUGUAGCAUUGCUUUCAUCUGCAAAAAAGAAAGCCAAACCAAGCCAAACAAACAAAAACAACAAUAAAAAAAAAAAAAACUUUUGCGAAAUCCCAGGCAAGGGAGGGAACACACGGAUGCCAUGUGUGCUGCGGCCUAGUUAAUGCUGCGCAUGGCCCUUUUCCAACUUUCUACUGCUUGGUGGAAUAAUUGUGUGAUCAGCUUUUCUGUAAUGGCCCCUGCAGUAAUAACCCCCGAGGAAGGUUGUCCACACGUCAUAUUUCUAGAAGGAUACUCCUGGGAUGACCAACUGGCUCUCUGGGAGCUGGGAUGAAGGGAAGGCUUUUUAUUAUAGACCGCUUUUAAAAAAAUCGGAACUUUGAAAGCUAUGUGCGAGUUCGUUAAAUUAACAUUGUAACGGAGGAAGGGAUGAACGUUAUAUGGGAGUUCGUUAAAUUAACAUUGUAACGGAGGAAGGGGUGUGAAGGCUGGACAGUCUGGUGGCUUGGAGAAGAUAAGAUAGAGAUGCCAUCUGGGGGGUGGGAGGAGGGCCAUCCUCUACAAAACUCCCGGUCUUCAAGGAUACAGGCAGUUGCUAACCACUCCCUGCGCACACCAAAGGACGUUAUGUGGCUCAGACUCCCAUAGGAUUCCACACUACAUAAAAUGACUUUAGAAGGCUUGCCCGUAUGCUCCCAUCUGCAAAUAUAACAUUUAAUCAAAGAGGAAAAGGUCAGCGCCAUCUACAUCCGCAGAAGCAAGCGGCAGCUGAGGAAGGAAUUGGAUGCCAAAGCGUUCGUCUGUCUAGGUGGUUUUUUCAGGUUGGAAUAAGACACAGGACUCCAGACUCCUAGAGAGCUGAUAAGUCAUUCUGACCUGCUGGGCCUGCUGCUUGCAGACCUGUAGUCCCAGCUAUUUGGGUUGCUAAGGUUUCAAGGAUCACAAGUGCAAAGGCAACCCAGGCUACAGAAUAAAUUCCCAGGCAGCCAGGGCAACUUAGGGAGACCCGGUCCAAAAUGAGAAUUAAAAGAAGGUUGUGGGAUACCUUCCUGCCAUGUAGGAGACCUGAAGUAGCGCCUCAAAUAAGAAACAAAUAGACCUGACUCUAUGCUUGCAUUCACUCUUGCCACUUGGCCUUGUCAGUUACUCUGUAACCGGCAUUAAAACCUUCCAGGGAGAGCCUUCAUGGUGGUUAACCACUGCAAGCUCCUGUUGCCACAGACCCUUCCAGCCACUAUGACCAGAAAAAUUAAUGAAAAAAAAAAACCCAAAAAACCAAAACCAAACCACCUGUCUUAGUUCAGUCUGUUGCUACAAAGGGCCAUCAACUAGGUGGCUUAUACCCGCCAGAAUUUCAUUCUGAUGGUUCUGGAUGCUGAAAGUCUAGGGUCGAAAUGCUGGCAUGGUUGCUUUCUGGCUUGAGGUUAUAGCGAACCAAACUUACAAUUAUAUUGUUCUGUGGCAGGAAGAGAGGGAGAGAGCCUUCUGAGUGUUGCUUUUGUGAGAUUUAGUUUUACUUUUAAUUAUGCAUCUAUGUGUAUGUCCGUUGUGAGCAUCUGCACAUUGGGGUGCGGUGUUCAUAAGAGACGAGAGCCUUCAGAUGCCCACAGGCCAUUGCGAGCUGCCUCGAUGUGGGUGAUGGAAAUUGAACUUGAGGCCUCUGGAAGAGCAGUAGAUACUCUUAGCCACUGUUGACAAGAACUUGGGAAAAGAAGCUGUGCCUGGCUGUGAACGAAAGCCUCCGAAGGAGUUUCUGUGUCUGCAGGGAUGGAUGGGCCGAUUGGAAUGUCAGUACCCUGGAGAGAUUGGAAUUUAUGGGUUCAGGAGCUGAUCACUUGAUAUUAUAUUUAACCCCGAUUCCUUGCCCUACUCUGUAUCUGAACACCUUAUGAUCAUAAAUAAAAACCUCUGAAAAGCGACUAAGUGGAACACUAGCUUCUACCAAUGCAAGAGCUAAGAAUGUCAUUGGAUAACAUGUUAGGUUAGAAAUCUUCCCCCAUCCCGGACUAUCUACCUCCCUGGAGUACCCACCAAUGCAUUUUAAAGUUGCUAUGAUUCUUUGCCCUGU
rnacentral:lncRNA from 1 species